CCUACGGGAGGCAGCAGUGAGGAAUAUUGGUCAAUGGACGAGAGUCUGAUCCAGCCAAGUCGCGUGAAGGAUGACUGCCCUAUGGGUUGUAAACUUCUUUUAUAUGGGAAUAAAAUGUUCCACGUGUGGGAUUUUGUACGUACCAUAUGAAUACGGAUCGGCUAACUCCGUGCCAGCAGCCGCGGUAAUACGGAGGAUCCGAGCGUUAUCCGGAUUUAUUGGGUGUAAAGGGAGCGUAGGUGGAUUGUUAAGUCAGUUGUGAAAGUUUGGGGCUCAACCGUGAAAUUGCAGUUGAAACUGGCAGGCUUGAGUACAGUAGAGGUAGGCGGAAUUCGUGGUGUAGCGGUGAAAUGCUUAGAUAUCACGAAGAACUCCGAUUGCGAAGGCAGCUCACUGGACUGCAACUGACGCUGAGGCUCGAAGGUGUGGGUAGCAAACAGGAUUAGAUACCCCAGUAGUC
rnacentral:rRNA from 1 species